GACGAACGCUGGCGGCGUGCCUAAUACAUGCAAGUCGAACGCUUCCUACCGGUGCUUGCACCGGGAAAGAAGAGUGGCGGACGGGUGAGUAACACGUGGGUAACCUACCUACAAGCGGGGGAUAACAUUCGGAAACGGAUGCUAAUACCGCAUAGAUCUUUUUGUCUCCUGGCAGAAAGAAGAAGGACGGUUUCGGCUGUCACUUGUAGAUGGACCCGCGGCGCAUUAGUUAGUUGGUGAGGUAAUGGCUCACCAAGACGACGAUGCGUAGCCGACCUGAGAGGGUGAUCGGCCACACUGGGACUGAGACACGGCCCAGACUCCUACGGGAGGCAGCAGUAGGGAAUCUUCCGCAAUGGACGAAAGUCUGACGGAGCAACGCCGCGUGAGUGAAGAAGGUUUUCGGAUCGUAAAACUCUGUUGUUAGAGAAGAACAAGGAUGAGAGUAACUGCUCGUCCCUUGACGGUAUCUAACCAGAAAGCCAUGGCUAACUACGUGCCAGCCGCCGCAGUAA
rnacentral:rRNA from 1 species